GAGUUCUCUUCUCUUGGGUGAGCUCAAGAUCAAAAAACCCUAGGGUUUAGUCUUCAGGGUUUGGGAAAAGAGGAAAAUAAGAGAAAAAAUAGUUUCUUCUCCAUUCUUCUUCCACCUCUUCAUCUCCUCCAGAAGUCUAUCUUCAACCUCUAGAAAGAUUUUAGAGAUUUAAAGAAAAGAUUCAGAUCAGUCAAGAAGAAGAUCCUCAUGUGAGCUAGCAUUUCAAGGAGAC
rnacentral:lncRNA from 1 species